UACGUAGGUGGCAAGCGUUGUCCGGAUUUACUGGGCGUAAAGAGCGCGCAGGCGGUCGUGCAAGUCGCGUGUGAAAGCCCCCGGCUCAACUGGGGAGGGUCACGCGAUACUGCUCGACUUGAAGGCAGGAGAGGGAAGUGGAAUUCCCGGUGUAGUGGUGAAAUGCGUAGAUAUCUGGAGGAACACCGGUGGCGAAGGCGGCAUCCUGGACCAACACUGACGCUGAGUGAGCGAAAGCCAGGGGAGCAAACGGG
rnacentral:rRNA from 1 species